rnacentral:tRNA from 1 species
GCCGGGGUGGCGGAAUUGGUAGACGCGCUGGUCUCAAACACCAGUGGAGCUUGCUCCGUGUCGGUUCGAGCCCGACCCUCGGCA